GUGCAUGUGACUGUGGCGGGCGGGGCUCUGACAGCCCUCUUCCCACAGCCGGGAUCCAGGCCCCAGGAGCUCUGGGGAAAUCCAGGCUGCUGCCAAAGGUCACUGGACUUAAUGCCUUGCCCAGCUUGCUGCUGGCAGAAAGCUGCCCACUCAGGCCAGCCUCUCCCUGGUCCCUGCUCUUGUAGUCUCCGAAGGGCUCCAGGUGGCCCCACAUGGCUGAGAGCCAGGAAGCCUCCAUGGGAAAGACUGUCUGUCCCUCCUUUUCUCUGCCUUAGGGUCCUUGCUCUGGAUCCCACAGAAGUUCUCUCAACUCCUGGCAUCCACAAGAACAAUCUCUACAGGUGGCUGCCCUGCCAAGCACACAGCAGGAGAAGAAAUGAGGGGCAGGGCCACCUGCCUGGCACUCCUGUCGAACCUGUGUUCCUGACCUUCCUUCCUCCAGCUCAGGAGCUGGUUCACAUUCUCUGAGCACUCUGCCAGGGCCUGGAACCACAGAAAGGGCCAUGGAAGGGGUCCUCACAGCUCUGCUUGCUGGCAUCUUUUGGGGCCCUGUGGUAAUUGAGCACCCGGCUCCAGUGUGACGAGAGGCUGUCUGCUUGUCCCAUGCCCCGCAAAAACAAGGCAACCCAGUGCCGGUUGCAGGCGAGAUGACCUGGACUGAAGGCCCUGGCACUGCCUCUCUGCCUGACCUUCAUGGGUGGCGGGAUGUGGCCCCCACAGCUUCCUGCGUCUCCAGUUCGGUUUCACGUCUUCCCUGGCAGCUGCCAGCGUCUCUUCCUGUGAGGCGGAGAGAGAAGUCAGCUUUCAACCACAAAGCAAAGACAACCGGAAGUGGCUCUCAAAGCUUUGGUGGCUCUCGACAGGCCUCCAGAGAGGCAGGGAGCCUUUGCUGUUUUAGCUCUGUUGUAAAUUAGUCUGGAGGUCAAGCUCAAAGGCUGUACCCCAGGACACUGGCAACUCCUCCGAAUGCCUGCUGUGUGUUUUAAGGGAGGUUGUCUCCCCUCUUUGGGCUGCUGGUUAAACAGGGUAGAGGGCUGGCAAACCUCCUUUCUAGGGAGCGACAGCCUAUCCCUGGAGUGACAAGGGACUUGGCCCUUGGACUGGCGAGCAUGCUCUGCGAUCUGACCCUGGGCUGCCAGGUAGGGCCCAGCAAUGUGCAAGCCCAGCACAGCAUGGGCAGGAGGCAGUGGCCAGGCCACAGCAGAGCUACUGCAUGGGGCUGGGAGUUGGCACCAUGCCAUGCUGCCCAUUAGUCAUAGCUUGCUGUAAAUAGAAACCUAUUGUCAUUGGUUUGGCAAGAGGUAAACAAAAGUGGCAACAUUGCCUUCAUUAUUAAUAACCUGGACACCAUUAGGUGUGUAUUUCCACUCAUGCCUCAUAAUCGCCCGAAGUGGGGGCGAUGCUAUCACCCUUCGACAGGCUGAAGACACUGGCACAGGAGGUAAAGGGACUUGUCCUUCAGCCAGUAAGUGCAGGACAGUUGGAGCCCAGGCCCAGAGAAAUCAAAGCCCAGGCUCUUCUCCUCUAGGCCACGCUGGCAAAGGCCUAGAGAAGUGGUCACUAAACAGCCUGCUCAGGACCCUUUUGGAGCGGUGGAACUCAGAUGCCCGCUGGUUGGGGCUGGUUGAGCUCCAAGGAAGCCACGUUGAGCUUUGCAUCUGGACAAAGGAGAUCUACCCCACAGUGCCAGCUCUCCUCACUCCAGCAUCUCCCAGCCUGAUGGCAAUCUCUGCCUGGGCAGUGGGGAGGCCAGCUGGACACAUGGUGGGUAGCUCUGAGCUCUCUGGGUAUCUCCUUCAUUUUGUGGAAGGCUUGGCCAGAGGGACCAAGCUUGGAGGUCAUUUAUCUUGUUAUUGUUCUUGUCUUCCUAGGAAAAAAGUGAUCAAAAGGAUUUAAAACACAGAAUUUCAAAUUGCAGUUCAGAGAGUGCUAGCUGGGUGUGGUGAGGCCACCCUUGACACCAGCAUUCUGGGAGGCUGAGGCAGGAGGAUCGAAAAUUCAAGCCCAGCCAGUGCCACUGAGAGAAAUCCUGUCUCAAAUGCUGAAAACAGCUGGGGUGUAGCUCAGUAUGAAGGUUCUAGGCUCAAUACCUGUGAGGGGUGGGAAGGAAUUUUCCUCUACCCAAGGACUUUUACUGGGUUCUCUUUGCAGGACCUGGUGCUUCAGUCAUAAAAAGGAUUUGAUUUUCAAAAUCAGACCUGAGCGUGGAUGGCGUAGAGACAGGUUUGGUGCAAAUUGAGAGCUGUGUGUGGUAGGCGGGCUCCGGGCAGGCAGGGGAGAGGUGGGUCCAGUGGCCCCCUGACUGUGUGCAGAUGUGUGCACGCAUGGGCUUCUGUUACCACUGGCAGGGGGGAAUGUGAGGCGGCGGCAGCGUUCAAGGCCGAACAGCCUCAUAGAACAAAGCACGUGGGAUCUCUGGAUGCAGCAGCCAAAAAAACACAUAAAGCCUGCAGCCUGUGCUAUAAAUAGAUCAGGCUCUGGCAGCCCACAGGCAGCCGCCAGCUUCUCCUUGCGGGAACAGCAGCCCUGCAGGCCAACCUUGACGCUGGCCCCAGGGGAGGGGGCGUCCACUUCAGGCAGGCCCAGGGUCUGGAGCUCCUUCACCAAGCAGCCAGGCGUCUGUGGCUGGACCGAGGUGUUGGGGGUUCUCUCUACUCCUCAGUAGGACCCCAGUCCUUAUCUUGACUUCACUCCAAAUGUUCAGGGGUGGGCAGAGACCUAGGUCUCAGGACAGCUGCUCUGUGCUGUUGGCCUCUGAAAUGUCACCUGGAAUCUACCUGAAAGAUCUACCCGUUUCCUUGCCCUCUGGCUCAACCUUGCUCUCUCAAUGUGGUUGCACAGUGUCCUGAGCAAACAGCGAAUCCAUCCUUCCACAAACUCAUCCAUUCUUCCCUCCAUCCUUCCCUCCCUCCUCUGUCCCUUCCUUCCAUCUCUCCUCUCUCCUCCCCUCCCCACUGCUGCCCUCCCCUCUCCUGCUCUUCCUCUCCCCUCCCCCCUGCUUCCUCUCUUCCUUUCUCUCCCCUCCUCUCUUCUCCCCUCUCCCCCUUUCUUCUCUUGCCUCUCUCCCUCCCUCCCUUCCAUCUUCCCAUGGAUCCACCCUUUCUUCCUUCCACCAAACCAUCCCUGACCCUAGAGACUGGUGACUGCUGAGCACGGGUACCCCCACCUCACCCUAGUGAAAGCAAACUGUGCCCCUGCUUAUGACCCACCUUGCUUGCUCCUCUGUGCAAGAUGUAGGCCCAGGCAAGGGCACUUCUGGGACUUGUGGACCCUGUGGAGGCUCACUGGAAGCUGGUGCCUGAGGCUUCUCUGUCCCAGCUGCACUGGCUGGGGAGUGGGGAAGGGGACAGAGCUCUUGACUACUUAGCCGCUCCACUGUGAAGCGUGUGUGGCUGCAGGGGACUCACGUCUGCACGGUGUGAGUACAGAUAGAGGCCGCAUGAGGCCAUGGGCUGUAGUGGCAGUAAUGAUAGCCAUGCUGCCGGCCAGCAUCCCUUGUCAGGCACCUACUGUGUCCAGCACUGUGUGUGACCACUGUGCCAGAUUCUCCGUGUCAUGCUGUUGGUGUUCACGUUCCGCAGGGGAGGAAUGAAGGCUCAGGGGGGCUAAAGCAUUUGCACGGGUCUGAAGCCGGAACUGGGCUGGUCCAGGCUCUGCUACCAUCACAAGCUGACGGAUCCUGGCCAUGAUUCUUAACCUCCCUGAACUUCAUUUUCUUCAUAGAAAAGGAAGCAUUUGCUGUGGAAUCGGGGGCCUCCCUCCUUGGAAGUCCACAGGCUGGUUUUUAACGUUGGAACCUCUUCAUGUCCUGGUGCUUUUGUUUUUAGAAUUCACUGGCUAAGAAAACUCACAAGGGCGAGAAGCUACUUUGAAUUCAGCAGUGGUUUAAAAUCAAUUUGUGUUUGGUUAUUUGCAACUGCAUGUAUAUGCAUUCGAAAACCAGCCCUGGUGCGGGCCUUGUUUAUCCAGUGCACAUGUGCAGGGUGGCAUGUGGAUCUGGGUUAUUGCAUUAAGACUCUGCAGCCCUCAGGAGCCAGGGCUUACGUUGUUGCUCUUUCCAAGUCUGUGUCGAAACUCUGUGUGAUUAACUCCUGCUUAUCCCUGUGCUGGGACGCAGUACGAAAGGCUGGAGCUGCAGGGCCUGGUCCAACGGCUGCAGACAAGGCAGAAACCACAGGCAGGCGAGGAUCUGCGGGGGCCCCUGGGUGGCUCCAACACAUGGCCAGUGCCAUGAGUGCCCCUCUCUCUAGCGUCACAGAAGGGGGUGGCUCAGCUCCACAGGGUACCUCAUCAGGGACUGGUCAUGCUGUCUUGAGUAAAGUCCCCCAAGAAUACCGUGGGUCAUCGAACACCAGCACCCGCCCAUGCUGGAGGGGGUGAUGCAGAGUGAAUGGGGGAUCCACUCUGAUGGAGAUGCGGCAGCUGCAGGGGCUUAGGGAAGGGACUGGGCAGUGCUGCUAAGUGUUGGCUUGCCAGGACCCUGGGGAGCCUACCCACUUCUGCCCAGGCCUGGUUGGCACCGGGGAGACAGCAUGCUAAGCCCUCAAGGCCCCUCUGGGAUGACAGUCCCUCUUGGAACCCGGCCAGUCACCUAGAAGAAGGUGCAGAGGAGAGGCUGCCUCGGACUGCCCCACACUCUCUGAUGCCCACUGCCCUCUGAAGUCCUCAAGCAGAAUGUGCAGAAGCCUGGGAAACAGGGCUGGCAUGUGCACCCAUGUGGAAGGGCUUCGAGAACCUGCAUCUGUGUCCUGUGAUUGUCUUACCUUGGGAUUCAGACUCAGAAGCUCCAGGCCCUCCUUGUCCUUGUCACCCUCAGUCUUCACCCUGCUCAAUCUCCAAGAUGCCUGUAGAUGCCUGAAGCUGCGCCUAGACAUGGUGCUGGGUUUGUUGUUGCAGCAAUGAGGGGACCAGUUAAGACAGGCCCCUUCUCUGCAAAGUUCCCCUGAAUUCACUGAUGACAAACUGUUAGGCUGCUGUGCGCUCGUGCAGCGAAGCCUGGGGCAGCUUCCUUACCGUCCACUGCAUCGUGCAGCCUGGUGCUCCCGGACACUGCCUCCUGAGACCUGCUCCUGCCACCUUUACCCUCUACUGCCUUGGCCUCAUGGCUCUAGGGCCCCCAAACAGAGUUCCUGCCCAAGCCACUUGGAUAUACUGCGUGGAAUACACGUCAGUGUUCCUGGCUGCUGGCAGGUUCCUGACACCAGACUUGAACCUGUUCCCCCUGGUGCCACUUCCUCUCCCUGGCUUUCCCCUAGGGAGCCUGGGACAGAAUCCUUCCACUCUUCUUGGAAGACCUUUGUGUUUCUAAAGCCUUCCCUCUUUCAAACUCAGCCAGGUCCUCCACUUACAACUCAUAGGAUGGGACAGGUAGCAGGUAAGAGGAAUAGGCAGCCCAACUACGAUGCUGGCUCCUACCCAGGAACUUCCCUGUGCCAACCCAUGUCAAAUCAAUGUGAUGCCACCCUUGGCCACAGGCACCCGGUAACUGGGCUUAGGUGGUGCCCAUUUCGGCACUGGGGGCAGGUACGCCUCCCCAAGUGUGUUUUCCACUGCACCGGCAAACUCUAAAUGGGAUGUGUUGUGAAAGCAGGUCUGUAGGCUCAGGCAGAAGAGGGGUGCUCCUGGGAGCAGGAAAGUCAGUUGGCCGUGGGGAUCCCGAGCACAACUCCUCUGCUAAUGAGACUCUGACCAGGACAGGUUCCCUGGGCUCUGGGACACACAGCCCAGUAAUCCCAGGACAGGAAGUCCUUCCAUUUACUGGCGACUCACUAGAGGCCUCCUUGCAGAGGUGCUGUGAGGUCACUAUCACAGCUUAGGGAUGUGGGGUUUGUCCCUUGGUCACUUCACAGUGGCCACAGCCUGGAGAGUUUUCAGUCUAAGAAUAUGCCUCUCCCGCAGUGAUUCCUUAAGGCAGCUGUUGGUCCAUCCAGCAGAGAAUUCUUAGGGUCACCACUACCAUUCUUGGUAUUGCAAUGAGUAGUGAUGGGCACAGCUUUCUCUGGGCAUCCCAGAGAGGCUUAGGGGGAGCCCACAGAGAUCUCUUUUCAGGACAGCAAGGAGUGUGUCCCAUACCCCUGUAGCCCUGGAGGUCCCUGGGAAUCCCUGCUAUCCCAGACCCUACUGAGCUGUAGAUCCCGGAGUGGGCAGGGAUGGUCCUUGUCACCAGAGGGAUCCUGUCCUUCUUCAGGGAGGCCAACAGGGUCUAAAGGGAAGCCAUCGCACUGGGCCAGAGCUCAGCUGAUGCCAUCGUGGGUUGGCUGGGCUUCUUUGCACUGACUGUUCUUGUAGGGCUGAACGUCCUGGGCUGGGGCACUGGCCAGCAGAAGAGGAAGGCAGUCCCUCGCCCAGGCCCUUCUCACCAGGGACUCCUUCUCCUCUCUGUCAGUCUCCUCUUUGUCAGCCUCUCUGCUUGGACUCAGCUGUGGUCUUGCCACAGAUAGGCAGCUGCAGGGGACAGAGGACAACAGAAGCCAGAGGGAGGUCCUGAGGUUAAAGGACAGAAAAGCCUUCCACUGGGCCCCUGGUCAUCCUUAUAGCCCUUGAACUGGGCAGGAAGGUCUGGGAGAGGCCCUUUCACAGGUUUUCUUCCCACUCACAGCCACCCACCUUCUGUCACUCCCCCUGGCAUUCUGGAGACCCAAGAGCUGGGUUUGUGUCAGACAUCGGCAGGCCUGGAUGUGUACACACACGCAUAUGCACACACGCUUGCAUGUACAUGGAGGAGGGCUUUGGGGAAGGGUAUAUGGACAGACCCAGCAGACACAGAGAGAGAAAUAGGGACAGAAGAGUGUUGGAGAACAUUGAAGCUGAGUACACAUGCAGGGCUGUGGCGUGGCCUGGGCCUGAUUGAACUGAGAAUGAGGAGACGUCUCAGGGGGCAAGACAGGCUACAGCUGAGGCCUCCUAGAGACUUUCUGGAUAGUUUUCCUUAAUUAGCAUCGUCUGUUGCUCUGAGGGGUCCUUGAACCCCUCCCAAGAUCCCGCUCAGGUUUUCUCCCUUAUCCACUCAGCUCCUUGCUUGCUCUGAUUAAAUACAGGCUGCCCAGGGUCAGUCAGCUGGCCGGCUAGCAGAGUUACGAGCUCUGCCGAGGAUUUCGCUCCUCCUGCAGCCCUAAAGACCAUGCCGCUUGUCUCAGUGCACCUGUCUGGGGGUUGGGGGUCUCGGCACAGACUUCAAAGAGGAGGAGGGGCAUGGAGGAAUAGGAGGAAAACAGGAGGGCACGGAAAGGUGUGGCAAGGAGAGUGUCCUGGUAGUAGAGAGAGCAACUGAGAAGGACGGAGUCGCAGGAGAAGCCGGGGGAGGAGUCCCUGGUGCAGCUCUGGUCAAGCCUAUUUGGGGGACGUUUCUCAUGUGAGACCCCUGACUUCAUGAACAAUUACUCCAUGCUCCUGUCCAGUGGGGAGGCAGAAGUGGCCUCAGACACAGGACCCCCCAAAAGUGAGCAAGUGUGGAGGUAGUCACCACAUUCACAAGGCAUCCACAGGCCAAUCUUGUACUCAGCAUUACAGGGAACAGAAAAAGAGGGAUUUUUAAAAACUACUUCCACAAGGCAGUCUAACUUUGAUACCCGAACUUCACACAGACUUGUGCAGAGAGGAGACUUGCUCCUGAACAUGGAUCUGGCAGUACCAAACCAAACAUUAGCAAAUCAGACUCAGCAGCAGGAGUUAAGAAGCCUUCAUAGCCAAGCUGCGUGUACUCCAGGAACUGGGCUAAGAAUCGAAAUCAUACCCAUGUGUGAUUCAUUGCACCAACAGAAUCUAGGAGAAAAGCCACCUCCUUGGAGCCUGAGAGGACACUUGCAACCUAUAGCCACAGCCACAUCACUGUCUUGGUUUAGUGCCUGGAACAUGUAAGUAACCACAGCGUCGCUGUGGAAGAGACAGAUGACAACUGUGGAAGAGGAUGCUCAGCCCUGCUAGUCAUUACAGAAAUGCAAACUGAAACACAGCUUCCCCUAGAUACACUGAGCAGAGGAGCCAGAGCGGGAGGACUGAGCUCCCAGGGGUACCUGACUCUGAGAAUAUUUUGAGAAUAUUCCUAGGAGUACAAACCCUAGGCUGCAUGGGGAUUCUAUGAUGAACUCUUUGAGGAGUCGCCAAACUGUUUUCCAGAGUAGCCGAAACAUUUGUGUCUCCACCAGCGAUGUACAAGUGUCCUAAUUUAUCUGCAUGCUCGCCUGCAUUUGAGGUUUUGUGCUGCUGUCACUGUUGUUUUAAGUGUUAGCUCUGCUAGAAGGUGUGACACAGCUCUCCGUGUGGUUUUGGUUUCAUCUCCCCAGUGACUAAUGAUGGUGAGCAUCUUUGCAUGUGCUUCUUGGUCUCUCGUGCGUCUUUUCGGGGGAAACGUCUAGCUGCAGCCUUAGCCCAUCUUUGUGAUCAGAUUCUGAGGGGAAGUGAUAGGAACUGUGUGAAGGCUCGGUUUCCUCAGUGUCAAAUGGGAGACACAGUUGCGUGUUCCCAUGAAACGGUGGCUAACAGUCCUAACUUUAGUAAUAAAGGUUAUGUGACCCAAACAGGGACAGCUGGUCACUAUACACGGGCAGAGGUAAGUGGGCAUGAAAGACCUUCAGCCCACCUCUCAGCCCACAGUCCCUCCCUGCCCAAGGAAUGGCAGCUGCUAUUAAUUAUAAUCCUUUCAACUAUGUGCUCAUGGAAGAAGCUGAAUGUAAAAAUCCAAAGACAGACGUAAGUUACCAGGAGCCAGCAAUUUGACACAUUUUCAAGGGUUUAAUUUUUUUAGGUGCUGGAACCUUGAGCACGUUCACACGUGCAGGGCAGGGUGAGGUGACAAUCAUUAUUCCACUGAGUGCUUACUGCACGCUCAUCACGUGGGAGUUGCGGGAGGGAGAAGUUGCAGGCACAGGAAACAGGAGACAGCUGAUGGCAGAGGGUCCCUCGAAGGCGGGACAGCAGGAUGAAAGCAUCUGGGCUGAUGGCGGAGGUUUCCAGCCUCAGUUCCAGGGUUGGAGCAGCCUGCAUCAGGGCCUCCUGGAGCCCGAGAGACUUUCCGCUUCCCCGCUUGCUGGGUUCCAGUGGGUUCUACCUGGAUCUGAACCAGAGACUUUCCGCUUCCCUGCUUGCUGGGUUCCAGUGGGUUCUACCUGGAUCUGAACCAAACUCCUUGUCCUUAUACUCAACCACCCGCUCGGCGUUGUGCGGGGUAUCCCCCGGUCAGGCCUGGGUUGCCACUGUGGAUAUCUCCCCACCCUCAAAGAACUCAGAACUCCCUCAAGGAAGCUCGGAGAUGAAUUUGAUCAUCAGGAACCUGGCAACCCAGCAAGCUCCUAGAGUGGGUUUGUUCCUGCUGGGAUUCACUACAUUCUGAAGUGCAGGGAAGGACCAAAGUAACCCGCAGUCAAAGCAGGCAGCAAAGCCUUCAGGUGCCCGGCAUGGCCCAUGGAAACCCUUGUGCAUCUCCUUUCAUCCUGAGGACACCGCAGCUGGGCUGCUUAGCCCAAGAGCCAAGCAGCCCAUGGAAAGUGGAGAAAUAGUCUUGGGUUUGCAAACUCCCAGGACACGGGGUCCAGGCCUAUCUGGUGUCCUUGGCUCAAGUGCAAUGCAGAGAGAGAUAAAGAGGCAGAGAGACCCUAGGAGUCAGGACUUUGUCUCCUGAUACCCUCCUGUCACUUAGCAGCCCUAUAAGGGCAAACCGAUUUUUGUAAGGUUGGGCCAGAGCCUCUCAAAGUGCCAAGUGUGUGCCCAAUUACCUGUCUUUAAGAUCCACUUCUUAAAGUCCCAUGACCUGCACACAUGAAUCUUCAGGGGACAAAUGGCAUUGAUGCUAUAGCAUCAAAUGACAGUAUCUGGGAUUUUAACUAACACAGCACAGCAAAGGUGAUGUUACUUCAGUGAUUACCAAGACCAAGACAUCUGUCUUGCCCAGAUUCCUCUUUUUCUGGCUUUGAUGGUCUGGCCUCAUUGAGCAAGGAGCAGAAGGUAGCCUCUGGUCAACAGCCACUGAGAAAUUGAGGCCCUGAGUGCCACAAGCCGUGAGCAACAGAAUGAACAUUGCUGACCACCAUGUGGGCUGGAAGCAGGUCCUGCCUGGGCAGGGCCUCAGAUAAGCUUGAGUCCCGACUUUGAUCAAAGCCCUGACCUUGAUCACAGCUCUCAGCUGAGAUAGCAGCUGUACCCCAGCUGGGUCCCAUCGGACCCCUUCUGACCCACAGAAACCAUGAGAUAAGAGUUUCGUGUUCUUUGAGGUUGCAGUGACAUUGUUGCCACUGCAGCCACUGCUAAGUAAAUUAAGAUGUCAUCAAGGAAUAGUGCACAUCAGUCUGAAAGCCGGUCUGUCUCCCUCUCUCCCCUCUCCCUCUUUCUCUCUCUCAUACUGGGGACUGAACCUGGGAAUGGUCUCCUGAAGUUACAUCUCGCCCUCUUCCAUUUUUUUUUCCUUUUUCUCUAUUUUUUUUUUAUUUAAGGAAAAAAAGAAAAAAACAGAAAAAGGGUACAAGUAAUACAAAAUUUAAAAAAUAAAUUUAAGAAAUCACUAGUUAAUAGAUUACAUAUUCUCAUCUUAGAAAUAGUUGUUCAAGUUACAAAAUUGAAGCAUAUAAAGUGGACUUUCAAACAGAGUGCAAACAGUUUUGUUCAAUGAUCCAAAAAAACACUCAGUAAUAUGGUUAUCUAUCUUAUACACUUAAACAUAUAUGCAGUUAUAACCUUUAGAGCACUUUCUUUUCUUUUUUUUUCUUUUGUACAAUGACAAUUACACAUUUUGGGUUUUAUUACUCCCACAGUUCUUACUACUUUUUUUGAAGAGAGUAAAACCAAAUGCAACAUAUCAGAACAGAGUCAGUCAAAUCAAAAGGAUGGACAUAAUAGAUAAUGUAAAAACAAAAUACAAGGUGAUCAACAAUGGUUACCAUACUGCCUCUUGCUAUUUUAAGAAGAAUUUCCAGUUAUAAUAAAAUUGAACAAAACAGUAAAGAAUAAAACCAAAGCAUUGGAGACAUUACAGGACUUUAAAAGAAGAUAAUAGUCAACCGGAAUGGGCAUCAUAAUGAAUCUUAUUGUCUUCACAGUUUUGCCUAUACUUUCGAACUUGGUACUAUCAAGCAAAGCAGAAUAGGGGAAAAUCAGUCAAAACAAGAUGGUGAGGGCAAUACAGGGUUUCAAAUCAAGUUAAUAGGAAAUCAAAGUAGGUUACUAUAAUGUAUCCUGCUAUUUUUUAUUUAUUUAUCCCUUAAUUAAGAAGAUAAAAAGAAAAAAGUAAAUAAUUUAAAAAAAGGGGGGGGGGAUUGAGAUAAAAGAGGGCAUAACAACAGACCAGCGCAGGUCAAAUCAUAACCAUUUAAGCACAAUAGUGUUUCACCACAAGAUAUCCUGACAUAAAAAUAGUUACCAUAGUGUGUCUUUCCUUGAACUCUUUGAGUAUAACUUCGUAUACUGUAGCACCAAACAUAUCAAGACACUAUAAAACCAUUCAAGAGAAUGACAUUAUUACAGGGUAUUUAGAACCCAUUAACAGAAAAUGAACAAUGGUUUCUGUAUAAUCUCCUUGUCUAUAAAAGUUUUUACUUAUAUUAUCAUAUAUAAUAAAAUCCAAUAAGAUGCAACCUUUUAAGACCGAUGGAGACAGAAGAAUACAAGUUUGAUAGUACUUCAAAACAAAAUGAUACUAAAUCAGCACUAGCUAUUAUGAUGUCUUGUUUUCUCCAAAAUAGCUGUUCCUACCAUCCGAUCUUCUCUGCCUCAUUUCUGUUGAGCUCUUUUUCUGUUGUUUGUUGUCAAUUUGUCUUCUUCAUUUCGCUUUCUGCUCCGUUCAUGGUGGCCUCUCUUGCCACUAUUUCUGGAAUCUUGGUAUUUUCCUUUUUUAGAAUAUCCUGCAGUAUUUCUGUAAAGUUGAAUUGGUGGUUGCACAUUCCCCUAGUUCCUCUUUAUCCUGGAAGCACCUUGUUUUUCCAUCAAUUUCCAGGGAUAGUUGUGCAGGAUAUAUCAAUCUUGGCUGCAGGUUAUUAUGUUUCAAAGCUUAAAUUAUUUCCCCCCACACUCUUCAUGAUUUGAUGGUUUGUGCCGAGAAGUCUGCUGUAAUUCUGAUGGGUGUUCCCUUGUAAGUGAUCUGUUUCUUGUCUCUGACGGCUUUUAAUAUUCUGUUCUUAUAUUGGAUUUCUGGAAUUUUGAUUAUUAUAUGCCUGGGUGUAGCUCUGUUUGUGUUGUAGAUGGCUGGGGUCCUGUAUGCUGCAUACAUCUGAGUAUCUUUACCUUUUGCUAAGUUAGGGAAAUUCUCUUGGAUUAUUUCUGUGAAUAGCUUUUGUAGUCCAUUUGUUUGUGUCCCUACUUCUUCUUUUAUGUUAAUUCUUAAGUUACAGAUCCUCUUAGCAUCUUCUAGCCUUUGUAUUAUUGCUGUUUGGGUUUUUUGUUAUUUUUAAGAAGUUUUUUCAUUUCAUGCUCCCAUAUUACAAAUCUGCCCUCCAGUUCAGAUAAUCUAUCCUUAGUUUCUUUCAAGCUGUUAUGCCAGUUUUCGAUAGUUUUUAGUUUCCUGGUAAUCUCUUUGAACCUGCUUCACGUAUUCUGUUUUCUCUAUUUUCUCCAUCAAACAAUUCUCCCCUUUUUUUCUGCUCUUCCAUUCCACCAUCUGUUUUUUCUUGGGCAGUGCUUAGCAUUUCUCUAACUAUUCUACUUAUAUCUUGCUUCAGGUCGUUAAUAACUUCAUUCCUGAACUCGUCUAUGAGGCUCUGGAGAUAGCGCUUUAUGUCUAUUGGUGCCGUGUCUGAUACUGCAUGUUUCUCAGGAUUGGGGGCCGAGGACCCUUUCUUGUUCCUCCCUCUUCCCAUAUUUUUUGUUCCUUUUAUACAAGCAAAUAUAGGAGGCCCAGUUUCUUUCUUUGUCGGUUACAGUUUGAAUUGCACCGGCUAGGUGUUCCCACCCUUUGCAGUGCACUAGGGAGACAGAGGCCUGGGCAGCCUAUGCUUGGCCUGCCCCUCUAGGUCAACCUACCGAAGGCUUCACUGCUAGGGUGCACCUCCAGGUUCAGGGACCUGGUUUGGACUAGCCUACUGGGUCUUAGUCAGCAGCAUCACACAGGCCAGGCGCUUCCCACCAAUCCCACUUGAGAGGGGAAUAUGUCACUGAAGUCACUGCAGCAACCUGUUCCGGGUAGUCUGCCUGGUUCCAGUAUGUCCUUUGCUGAAGCCUCCUACUCUAUGGAAGGGUCCCCAAUCCGCUCAUUCACCGCAGGUCGAUGCAGGGCUUCCUGCCAGUCUCGCUCUCAACUCCAUUCACCGCUUCCCACUCUCAGAGCUUUCGUGCCUCUCUCCUUGCUGCGCUGAUUGGGAUGCAGCAGCGACUGCAGGAAAUUCAAAUCACAGCUUCCAGUGGUGCGGGGUCCAGCUUCCACACUGAGACCUUAUCUGUUCCUGCUGUAUCACCGGGAUUGCGUUUCCAGUUGGUUUCUCUUAGUUUAGUUCAUUCCUGGGUCGGCAGGGUAUAUCUCCCCUUGCUUAGGAUUUCUUGCCCGGCACCAUUCCUGGAUUUUAAGAGAGCCUCUGAGGCUGCUGCUAUCUAUCCUCCAUGUUCUCCUGGAAGUCCAUUUUUUAUUUUGAGAUAGGAUCUUGCUAAGUUUCCCAGCCUGAUCUUGAACAUGUUGAACUUGCAAUCCUCUUGACUCAGCCUCCCAAGCUGGAGGUGUGUGUGUGCACCAUGCCUGGCUCAGACGGCUCUGGGAAAGUUCCCUCCCAGCCUGAAGAAUUCACAGCCACAUCUUACUCAUUUGGUUCUCCUGCAUCCCAUUUAGCAGGGGACUCUCGGCUUGUCUACUGGUAAAGUGUCACCUGAGCCCUUGUUGGUGUCUCAGACAGGUGGGCAGGCUGUGUCUGAGGGCUCUGAUUGGAGGCCAGAGCCAGGUCCAGGCUCCCUCCAGCUGCGCCCUCCCCCUAUGACUUUGGGCAAGGCUGUCUGAGCUCUGUGUACCUCAUGGAGCAAACCUGGGACCGGCCCACCCACAGGUCUGUACAGGUCAAAUGAGCUAAUAUGACAGACUAUUAAGAAGCCCACAGAGGUAAGGGAUUGUUAUUAUUUGUUAUAAAAUGUCACAAGCAUUCCUGCUGCUUGACUCAUGAUGCUGGGACUUGGAAGAGUUUCCCUUCCAAAUAAGGCCUUUCUUGUGAGUCCCAGGUCUCCCAGCUUAGACUGAAGGCUGUGCGGCCCCCACCUGUCCUUCCUUGUCUCUGUGCAGAGAAACCAAGAGGCAAGCGCCUGGGUCUGCAGAUGUCAAAGCACAUCGGCUCCCUGGCGCUUGCCGUGUGACCUGGCCUCAGCGUCAGGCAAAGCAUGGGGCAUCUUCAUGAAUACCAUGGGGACCACAGGCUGGCUUUUGAGUCACAAGGCAGAGACAGAUAAGACCAGGUGGCAGCAGGGAAAUGACAGAUUUUCUCACCAGGAUAUCAGAGGUCCAUGCCUUUGCACAACUCCCCUUUGCAGCAAAUCUUGGUUCAGAUCAAAACUUCAAUUUCAUUGUGGAGGCAAAUUUGCCAUAAAAGCUGUUACACUGCUUUCUGUUCUUGAGUGGGAGCCCUUGUGAUUUUCUGGGGGCAACUGGCAGUCAGAGACUGGCCCUGGCGCUCUAGGACAGAUAAGCAGUGGGGACCACUCGGUUGGCCUUUUGGGGAUGCGUCGCAGAGAGAAGCAUCCGAGCAUCUGUGAGGUCACUGGGCCACGGCCACCCAGGGACCAAGCUGGAGAGUCCGGCCAAGGGCACACGGUAAGGGGGCUAUGGAGGUGCGAGAGAGGAAGUCAGGCUGGGGCCGUGCUCAAGAUCUCAGUCUGCUUCAUAGUAGUGAAGACACAGGCAUGGGCCCGUUGGUUCCACUGCUUGAGCCCUUGGGUCUUAAGCUCUGCCAUCUGCAUGGCUCUGUUUCCUGAUUGGCUUGGCAGAAAACACUUGAUGUGUGUUGGCUAUGAUGUUCUGUUACUUUCAUUAAAUAUUUAAGAGCCGGUGACCUUUUCAUUUAUUUGUCUAUUUUUAAUACACUUAGGACUAUUAUCUGCAGGCAUUGUCUCAGGUUUACAAUAAUGAGCAAACUAGGCAGAACCCUCGUAUUCAUAGAGCACAUGUGUCACUAGGAGAGAGAUCUCCACAGCGUCACCUGGCAUUGACUGCUCCCAACAACAAUGAAGCUGGGACAGGCUAUGAGACCAGACUUGUAGGGGAAGCUGGAACUGAGACCCGGGGAGCUCUUGGGAAGGUUUUCAUCACCUCUAAUGAUCUAAUGUCAACAGCAGCCUCCUAACAGGAGCACGUGACAUGUGGCCUCUGUACCCUGCUCUCUUCACCUCAGGGCUCAGCGCUUUACAGCCUGGGUCUGAACUUCCUGCUGUCCCUCCUUGCCAGCCACCUUUGUGUCUCCGCAUGUCAGUGGAUGGACUUUGGUGCUCUUCCUACCUUUCGGGUGUGUGACCAACGCUGCCGUGAACAUCGGUGGGCAAAAUUGUUUUCAUUUUUCUACAAAACUUUUUAUUAAAGAAAUUACCAAACACACACAAACAGCGGCGGAAUAGUAAACCCCACUGGACAUGCCAUCAGCUUCAAAAAUACCUAAAAUCCUGUCUUUUAAUUUCCCAAAUUUGGGCUUGUAUACUUUAAAGAAAAUGAAGACCUGCUAUCACUAAAUCUGUAGAUAUCAGCUCGUGAAUCCCUAGUGUGUGGGACCUCGAAAACACAAACUCUCAGUGUCUCACUGCCCCCUGCAACAAUUGCUUAACAUGCUCUGGUAUUUAGGCCAGACUUAAUUUUCUGUAAUUGUCUUAAAAAGGAUCUGUUGCUCACUGUUAUUUUUUUUUAAUAAUUUGUUUUUUUUCUUUAUAGAGCUUUCUUUUUUCCGGUACCGGGGGUUGAACUCAUGACUGCCUGCUUGCAAGGCAGGUGCUUAUGCUGCUGAGCUAAAUCCCCAGUCCUUCUUGAUAGAUCUUUAUAGCAUGCUGUUGUGGGCUCAGUGUGCACUUGCUUCAUGUUUGAUUCAGCCAUUGGACUGAGCUCUCUGAGCCCAAGGAGCCACAUCUAACUUGGGUCCAGCACAGAGCCUGGCUCGAAUUUCAGUUUGAAUGCAACACAUUCUCUCCUCCUGGGUGUAAUCCGGAAGUGGAAUCACCAGGUCUUAUGGUGACGGGAUAAAGACCUGGAGUCAGGGCAGAGACAGGCUGCAGCAGCAAGUGGUAGGCUACCUGAGGGAGGGUCUCUCAGCAAGUGAUAAUCCUCACAGACAGAGAACCCUGGGGCACUUUGGACUUAGCCACAGGGUGAAUGUCUAAGGCCUGGACAGAGGGGCUAGGGGAAGGUAAGGAGGUACUUGGACAGAGCCUGAUAAUUCUGUCUUCAAAUCUUAUCCAGCUAGAGAUCCAUCCUUUUUAAAGGACAAUUUUGACAAAAGGUAAGAUCAAGAUGGUCAUAGGAAUUGAAAUUGAAUACGUGUCAAAAAUUUAACUCCUUGAUGAAGGCACUGGCAUGCUGGUGUGAGGUUCAAAGGCAGGACCAGGGCAUCAACAUUGGGAAUGCAGAGUCAGUCUACAAACAGACUCACCUGGUCAGUGUGCACAGUGGUCUGUUGCGUUCGGUUGGAUCCACUGGGCACCAUUCGUACUGUAGUGUGUGGAUGCGAGUUGUUUGCAUCACUGUAAGCUUGCCACAACUCACAUAGUGGCCAAGUGCUGUGCCACAACCAGGGAACUCUGAUCUUGACCGGCAGAGUAGCGUGAGGAGCCAAUUUUCUGCAUCUUUGAGGCCUCAGCAGGACAGCUUCCAGGACUUGGGGUCUUGGAGGGCCUGGAGUCAUCUCAGAAACUUGGUCACUGGAUGGUGUCCUCCAAGCUAACUCUAGGGGUCUGCAGGAGAGUCCAGCUGGGGAAGGCAGUUUCUGGUGACGGGACAGGAGGAUACCUCUGGCGGUCACCCACAGAGUGAAGAAGGGGGACUACCCAUCUGAUUUGGUCCAGCCAGCCUCAUUUACAGGGAGCGAUGGGUGGGAGCAGAUCUAUGAAUUUUAGAGUCAGAGGCCCUACAUUGUCAUUGGGACAUUAGAUUGAACUCCAAACUGCAGUGCAGAAAAAAAAAAAAGCAAUUUCCCAGACUUCCUUUGUAGCUAGACAAUGUUUCAUAAGCUCUUUGGAGUGGUGGGGUACAGGGGUUGUGGGUGAGGUACCCCAGAGAGCAGGCUUGAGGACCAGCCUGUGGGCAGGCUGCUUCCUGCAAGAGGUCCUGUUACUCACUGACCGCAGGGGACUGAGGCUGCCUGGCUCCCUUCCUGCCUUCUUCGAGGCCUCCUGAGUGGCCUGGUACAAGUGCACAGUGCAUAUUAUCGAAGAUCAGAUGCACGGACCUACUCUGCUGGCUUCUCCGUGCAUGGGGGACCCAGGAAGUCUCGGCCCCAUCCUUGAGGCCUUUGUAUCACUUGGUAUCUGCAUCGGCCGUGUUUGUCACUCUCCAGGUACGGAGGCCUGGGGGCUUUCCGUGGUCACUCAGGCCUCCUUGAGACAGUUAAGGCUGAGACUCCGCUUUGGGCUUCCUACAGUGUCCAUCUCAGUGUCAUCCCUUGAGGUCUGUGAUGGCUCGAGUGGUGGUGUCCUCUGCCAAUCCCCCACCACCAAGGAAUGCACCCCGCCAGUGCUGUCACAUUUGGAGCGAGGGCCUUUGCGGGGACUGAGUCAUAAAAGAACUUAUUUCAAAGUAAGUAAGUUUAGGACCUUUUUAAAAAAUUCAUUUUAAGUCAGAGUCUUACUGAGCUAGACUCAAAUGCGUGAUCCUUCCCCCUCAGCUGCUCACAAUACGGUGAGAAGUUAAUGUUCUUUAUACACCACCUGGUCUCGGGUAUUUCAUUAUAGCAGCACGCAUGGGCUAAGAUAGGGGCACUCAGAAUAAGUUAAUUUUCCUUGUAGCGGUACAAAUUCAUAAAGAAAGGCUUUUGUCCCCCUUGAUUGUUUCCUUCAGUCUUAAUUUUUUUUUUCAGGGACCCUAAUCUCAAGUUACCUUCCUGGUUAGCUCAUAUUAAUUUGAUUUGGUACCUGCCAUCUGCUUUCCCUAUGUCAGAAGUAAAUGUUAGGCCAGGGAGUGUCAGAUGGGGUGAAGGCCCUGGAAAGCCAAUGGUGUGGCUCAGUCUAUGUCCAAAGGCUUGAAAGCCAGGGAGCCCAGGAGGUGAGAUCCAGGGAGAGGGCUUGGGGACAGAGUGCUGGAGUUUGAGGGCUCUAGGAGUUUUGGUAUCUUCCAGUGUCAGUGGUAGCAGAAGAUGGGGAACUCAACUCAAGUAGAGAGAGGGGGUGCCCUGCUGCCACCCCUCUGUUCUGUCUGCCCCAAUGAACCCACUGAUGGCUGCCCAGCUCUUUACUCAUUGUACUGGUCAGCUCUAGCAUUGCUGGGAGACAAUACUUGACCCUCAUGAUUUAAAGGAGGGGAGCUUGAAUGUGGCUCAUGGUUUCAGGGGAAUCAGUCCAUGGUCAGCUAGCUCUAAGGCAGGAACAUCAUAGUGGAGCAAAGGUAUUUAGUUUUUUUUUUUUUUUUUUUUCUUUUUCAUUUUUAUUGGUACCAGGGAUCGAACUCAUGACUGCCUGCUUGUAAGGCCGGCGCUUAUGCCGCUGAGCUAAAUCCCCAGCCCUGGUAUUUAGUUUUGGUAACUGGGAAACAGAACAGAGGAAAGGUAGCAGAGAGGAUGGGUGAGGUAUGAUAUUGUGCCCCAGCUCACACUCCCACGACUGACCCAAUGUGCUCCUUUAGCUCCCUGGGUAGCACCCAAAGCCAAUCAAGUUCAAAUUCUGUCCUAAUUGGCAUACUCAGUCUACUGAUUCAGAUGCCAGGCUCUCCUGGAAACACCCAGAAGAAAUGUCUGGCAUCCAUUAUUGUAAACCCAAAUACCGAGUUCAGUCAUCCAAGUAUUAUAAUCCUCUUUGUAGUUUUUCUCACAAUCCAAAAAGUUAUAUGUAUAAUUCCAUUGAGACGUUAUUGGAACCCCAGCAGGUUAAUUCAAUCUACCAUCACCAAUCCAACCAACGGGGAGAGUAAAGACACCAAGACAUGUUCCAAGUUAAGGGCAGCCAAAGGGUCCUAAAUCCAAUCCCCAUGAGGACAUGCAGACAAAGGCCUCAAUCCUAGACCUCUCCCAGCAUUUAUUCUCUUGUGAAGAAAGAGGAGUGGCUCAGGGAUUGCUGAGUAACUUGAGCUGGCUGGCCAGGUGCAAGAAUGGCAUCUCUGUAAUUUGCAGAGAUAAAGAUAUGCAGAAGGAUCAAUUUACAUAUCCCAAUUAUGGUAGCAGUGGAAUUGUUUUGGGGGGCUUUGGUUUCUGAUAUGCAAACUCUUGUGCCCUGGAGAGUCAUAGCCUCUGAUGAUGAGGCUCUACCCAGCUGACAUUCCCGGAGCUAUUUGCUCUAAUCUCUCUAGCUCAAUCCUGUACUGUGGAGAAGACCCUGUGAGGAAACAGGGCUGUCUGCCGGCUAUAGACUUCGCACAUUAGCACCUCAGCUAGCCUUAUUUGCAAUGCUCAGCGCCAAUUGAAGAGAGAAGGAAAUACCCUAGCCAGCCUUUUACACAUCAGCAUAAGGAAAUGAGUUUCCAAGUAAUCAAAGUCACAGCAAUUGUUCUGGAUUCAAAGGGAGUCACUGGAGAUGUCUCCCACAACCCAUAAACCCGGACAAGUUGACACCUGAGAUUAACCAUCACCCCCAGACUGCAUCCGCAGCCUGAGCCAGCCAAUUCCUCCAGACAAAGCAAGACUGCACAGCACCCGGAACCAGCAAGAUGUACCCUGGCUUCUAGAACGAGCAAACAGAAACUCUCAGAGACUAAAUGCUCUCCACUACUCCCCAGCAAGACAUGGCAGAGAAACGGGAUGCAUUUGUGCCUGUGGAGAGAGAAGAGGGGGACUGUGGGAUCACCUUCCUUCUGUCUUACUUUGGACUCCCUGGGAAACAGAGUCUACCUGGCUCCAGUACCUGCAUCUGAAUACAGUUGGCCCUUGGGUUCUGCCUCUGUAGAUUCAACCAAUGGUGGAGAGAAGAUGUUUGAGGGGGAAAAAAUACCCUAGGAUAAUAAAAAAUAAAGAGAUAAUUCUACAAUAAAAAUGAUACAAAUAAAAAUCAAUACAACAACU